rnacentral:rRNA from 1 species
UACGGGGGGAGCAAGCGUUGUUCGGAUUUACUGGGCGUAAAGGGCGCGGUAGGCGGUCGUGACAAGUCACUUGUGAAAUCUCCGGGCUUAACUCGGAACGGUCAAGUGAUACUGUCGGACUAGAGUACAGAAGGGGCAACUGGAAUUCUCGGUGUAGCGGUGAAAUGCGUAGAUAUCGAGAGGAACACCUGCGGCGAAGGCGGGUUGCUGGGCUGAUACUGACGCUGAGGCGCGAAAGCGUGGGGAGCAAACAGG